UACGGGGGGGCAAGCGUUGUUCGGAAUUACUGGGCGUAAAGGGCUCGUAGGCGGCCAACUCAGUCGGACGUGAAAUCCCUCGGCUUAACCGGGGAACUGCUUCCGAUACUGGAUGGCUUGAGUGUGGGAGAGGGAUGCGGAAUUCCAGGUGUAGCGGUGAAAUGCGUAGAUAUCUGGAGGAACACCGGUGGCGAAGGCGGCAUCCUGGACUACUACUGACGCUGAGGAGCGAAAGCCAGGGGAGCAAACGGG
rnacentral:rRNA from 1 species